rnacentral:tRNA from 1 species
GGGGAUAUAGCUCAGUGGUAGGGCAUAUGCUUAGCAUGUGCAAGGUCCUGGGUUCAAUUCUCAGUACCUCCA